rnacentral:rRNA from 1 species
GUAGGUGGCAAGCGUUGUCCGGAAUUAUUGGGCGUAAAGCGCGCGCAGGCGGUUCGUUUAAGUCUGAUGUGAAAGCCCACGGGCUCAACCGUGGAGGGUCAUCGGAAACUGGAGAACUUGAGUACAGAAGAGGAAAGCGGAAUUCCACGUGUAGCGGUGAAAUGCGUAGAGAUGUGGAGGAACACCAGUGGCGAAGGCGGCUUUCUGGUCUGUAACUGACGCUGAGGCGCGAAAGCGUGGGGAGCAGACAGGAUUAGAUACCCUGGUAGUCCACGCCGUAAACGAUGAGUGCUAAGUGUUAGGGGGUUUCCGCCCCUUAGUGCUGCAGCUAACGCAUUAAGCACUCCGCCUGGGGAGUACGGCCGCAAGGCUG